GGGGAAUAUUGGACAAUGGGCGCAAGCCUGAUCCAGCCAUGCCGCGUGAGUGAUGAAGGCCCUAGGGUUGUAAAGCUCUUUCAACGGUGAAGAUAAUGACGGUAACCGUAGAAGAAGCCCCGGCUAACUUCGUGCCAGCAGCCGCGGUAAUACGAAGGGGGCUAGCGUUGUUCGGAUUUACUGGGCGUAAAGCGCGCGUAGGCGGAUUGGUCAGUUAGGGGUGAAAUCCCAGGGCUCAACCCUGGAACUGCCCUUAAUACUGCCGGUCUUGAGUAUGGUAGAGGUGAGUGGAAUUCCGAGUGUAGAGGUGAAAUUCGUAGAUAUUCGGAGGAACACCAGUGGCGAAGGCGGCUCACUGGACCAUUACUGACGCUGAGGUGCGAAAGCGUGGGGAGCAAAC
rnacentral:rRNA from 1 species